GUGCAGUAAGGGUUGAUUCAAGAUCAGCAAGAACAGACCAUGAGUAUAAAAAUAGAUUGAAGAUUUUCAGAUGCCAUCCUCUGAUAGUGAUCUGUGAUCACAAAACGCGCUAGGCGGCAUCUUCACAUCGGUUCCUGAGAGCAAGCAUACUGGAACGCAUCCAGAGCCACAGUGGAACGCACGCGGCCAGAAUCCAGUGUCAUUCCAGCAUGAGGAGGUCCUAAUUCACUUCUAUCCGGCCGGCAAGAAAGUGAUAUCAACAUCACCGGACCCCCAGUCUGAAAUACCUGGUACUAUUGC